GACGGAGGGUGCGAGCGUUAAUCGGAAUUACUGGGCGUAAAGCGCACGUAGGCGGUGGUGUCAGUCCGUUGUGAAAGCCCCGGGCUUAACCUGGGAAUGGCAAGGGCGACGGCACCACUGGAGUGUAACAGAGGACCGUGGAAUUCCCGGUGUAGCGGUGAAAUGCGUAGAGAUCGGGAAGAACACCGAUGGCGAAGGCAGCGGUCUGGGUUAACACUGACGCUCAGGGGCGACAGCGUGGGGAGCAAACAGG
rnacentral:rRNA from 1 species